UACCAGCACCCCGAGUGGUCGGGACGUUUUAUUGGGCCUAAAGCAUCCGUAGCCGGUUCUACAAGUCCUCCGUUAAAUCCAGCUGCUUAACAGAUGGGCUGCGGAGGAUACUAUAAGACUAGGAGGCAGGAGAGGCAAGCGGUACUCAGUGGGUAGGGGUAAAAAUCCGUUGAUCCAUUGAAGACCACCAGUGGCGAAGGCGGCUUGCCAGAAUGCGCUCGACGGUGAGGGAUGAAAGCUGGGGGAGCAAACCGG
rnacentral:rRNA from 1 species